rnacentral:rRNA from 1 species
ACCCCACUGCUAUCGGGAUAGGACUAAGACAUGCUAGUUGAGCGCUUCCAGCCAACACGGGAGCGCAGCGCACAGCUCAGUAACACGUGGCUAAUCUGCCCUUGGGACCGGAACACCCCCGGGAAACUGGGGCUAAUUCUCGAUAGGUGAAGAACUCUGGAAUGAGUCUUUGCUAAAAAGACGCUUGCGUUAUGCUCGUAGGCGUUGCCCAAGGAUGAGGCCGCGACCGAUCAGGUUGUUGGUGAGGUAAUGGCUCACCAAGCCUUUUACCGGUGCGGGCCGUGAGAGCGGGAGCCCGGAGAUGGGCACUGAGACAAGGGCCCAGGCCCUACGGGGCGCAGCAGUCGCGAAAACUUUGCAAUACACGAAAGUGUGACAGGGCUAUCCCGAGUGCCAUCCGCUGAGGAAGGCUUUUACCCAGUCUAGAACGCUGGGGGAAUAAGGAGAGGGCAAGUCUGGUGUCAGCCGCCGCGGUAAUACCAGCUCUCCGAGUGGUGUGGAUGUUUAUUGGGCCUAAAGCAUCCGUAGCUGGCUAAGUUAGUCCCUUGUUAAAUCCACCGAAUUAAUCGUUGGAUUGCGGGGGAUACUGCUUGGCUAGGGGACGAGAGAGGCAGACGGUAUUUCCGGGGUAGGGGUGAAAUCCUAUAAUCCCGGGAAGACCACCAGUGGCGAAGGCUGUCUGCUAGAACGCGCCCGACGGUGAGGGAUGAAAGCUGGGGGAGCGAACCGGAUUAGAUACCCGGGUAGUCCCAGCUGUAAACGAUGCAGGCUAGGUGUUUGGACGGCCACGUGCCGUUCUAGUGCCGCAGGGAAGCUGUUAAGCCUGCCGCCUGGGGAGUACGAUCGCAAGAUUGAAACUUAAAGGAAU